rnacentral:rRNA from 1 species
UUCCGGUUGAUCCCGCCGGACCCGACCGCUAUCGGGGUGGCGCUAAGCCAUGGGAGUCGCACGCCCCGCCGCUGCGGGGAGUGGCGAACGGCUGAGUAACACGUGGCUAACCUACCCUCGGGAGGGGGAUAACUCCGGGAAACUGGAGCUAAUCCCCCAUAGGCGGGGAGGCCUGGAACGGUUCCCCGCUGAAAGGGCACGCCGGGGGUUAUCGCCGGCACGCCGCCCGAGGAUGGGGCUGCGCCCUAUCAGGUAGUUGGCGGGGUAAUGGCCCGCCAAGCCUAUAACGGGUAGGGGCCGUGAGAGCGGGAGCCCCGAGAUGGGCACUGAGACAAGGGCCCAGGCCCUACGGGGCGCAGCAGGCGCGAAACCUCCGCAAUGCGGGCAACCGUGACGGGGUCACCCCGAGUGCCGCCCGAUGAGGGCGGCUUUUCCCCGGUCUAAAAAGCCGGGGGAAUAAGCGGGGGGCAAGUCUGGUGUCAGCCGCCGCUGGUAAUACCAGCCCCGCGAGUGGUCGGGACUUUUAUUGGGCCUAAAGCUGUCCGUAGCCGGCCCGGCAAGUCCCCCCUUAAAGCCCACGGCUCAACCGUGGGAGCGGGGGGAUACUGCCGGGCUAGGGGGCGGGAGAGGCCGGGGGUACUCCCGGGGUAGGGGCGAAAUCCGUUAAUCCCGGGAGGACCGCCAGUGGCGAAGGCGCCCGGCUGGAACGCGCCCGACGGUGAGGGACGAAAGCUGGGGGAGCAAAGGGGAUUAGAUACCCCCGUAGUCCCAGCUGUAAACGAUGCGGGCUAGGUGUUGGGCGGGCUUCGAGCCCGCCCAGUGCCGUAGGGAAGCCGUUAAGCCCGCCGCCUGGGGAGUACGGCCGCAAGGCUGAAACUUAAAGGAAUUGGCGGGGGAGCACCACAAGGGGUGAAGCUUGCGGUUUAAUUGGAUUCAACGCCGGG